GUUCAUGACAAUAUGUUACUGAAAUCAAGGAAUGAAGAAACUGCUACUUUGUUAUUGUUUUAAAGUGAUUAAAAAUCUAAAUCAACCAAUAAUUGUGUCACCGUUAGUACGGUGUUUGGCUCUUGUCCAAUACGUUAACGCUUCUCGCAGUCCAACUGUCGAAGGCUACUUUUGGCGGAUAAGAUAGAUUUCUAAUUGUUAAUAGCUUUAAAUUGAUACUGAAAUCGCAUUUUUGUUAGUGAUUUCUGUCUUAUAUUUAUCUAAAGAUUCAUAUUUUAACGUUUUAUCCGAGUACUAUCAAACAAUCAAAUACCCUGCGUCUACAAUGAUACCUCAACUCCUACACGGUUUUUUUUCCUCCCCAAGGAAGAGCUUGUAUCUGCGCAUGAAAUUCGCAGUGGAUUCUUUCUUAGCAUUGAGUCGUUAGCCAAUCAGAGCAAUGCAAUUUAUACUCCUAUUAUCGCUAACGAAGCGCGCUUCGACCGGAGAAGCUUGCAGAAACUUAGCUAUCACUAUACAAUAUGCUCAUAUACCAUAGACCAAAGAAUAUAUGGGUGGGGGCAUAUAUGGAUUACGGCAAGGGAUCCGCCGUAAGGUGAGGCUACGUGCACUUUGGCUGUAUUCCGUUUGACUCGGUAUCACUCGGAUCCAUUUGAGAUCGUUUGAUUCCCACCAUGGAGUUAUUAAGUCCAUGCUACCACCCGAAUAUAACCAAGAACCACGGACCAUAAGGAGAGUGCCUAGUUACGGUAAAGUGAUGCCAAAAAGCUGUAGUUCCUAAUUAAGAAACAGUCAGCAGCACUACACUGUCACACAAAGAUGAAGAACUCUUAUUCUCCUUACGUUUUUGAUACUACGUACCCCACUCCGUCGCCGAUAAGCCAAGUAUACGCUCUGAGCGCACUACAAAUGCACAGUCGAGCCCGUGCUGACAACAUAGGAAAAUAGAUGAGUUCAUAUAGUCUACCCUUACCGUGAAUCUCAACCCCUCGCAUUAACAGGUUCCGACCAUAUAUUUUUAAGUCAUUAUUCUUUAUGGAAGAAGAAAGCGAAAAUCUAGAUAUGAAUUUAAUAUAUUAUAUAAGUUUUUAAUGAUAUGUUAGAUGAUAACAAAUCUUAAUAAAGAAUUCUCAUAAUAAA